AUUGAACGCUGGCGGCAGGCCUAACACAUGCAAGUCGAGCGAGCGGCGGACGGGUGAGUAAUGGAUGAGGAUCUGACCGCUAGAGGGGGAUACCUACUGGUAAAGGUGGCUAAUACCGCCUACUAUCGGAUGAACCCAUAUGGGAUUAGUUAGUAGGUGGGGUAAAGGCUCAACUAGGCGACGAUCUCUAGCUGGUCUGAGAGGAUGAUCAGAAAGACGGGGACUGGGACACGGCCCAGACUCCUACGGGAGGCAGCAGUGGGGAAUAUUGCACAAGGGGCGCAAGCCUGAUGCAGCCAUGCCGCGUGGAUGAAGAAGGCCUUAGGGUUGUAAAGUACUUUCAGCGGGGAGGCGUUACCCGCAGAAGAAGCACCGGCUAACUCCGUGCCAGCAGCCGCGGUAAUUC
rnacentral:rRNA from 1 species